GUGCUUGUUUUGGCAGCACAUGUACUAAAAUGGGAACAAUGCCGGGAAGAUUAGCAUGGCCUUUGCGCGAGGAUGACAAGCAAAUUUGUGGAGUGUUCCAUAAAAGA
rnacentral:snRNA from 1 species